rnacentral:rRNA from 1 species
CAAGUCGAGCGGCAGCGACUUAACUGAACCUUCGGGGGACGUUAAGGGCGGCGAGCGGCGGACGGGUGAGUAAUGCCUGGGAAAUUGCCCUGAUGUGGGGGAUAACCAUUGGAAACGAUGGCUAAUACCGCAUAAUCUCUUCGGAGUAAAGAGGGGGACCUUCGGGCCUCUCGCGUCAGGAUAUGCCCAGGUGGGAUUAGCUAGUUGGUGAGGUAAGGGCUCACCAAGGCGACGAUCCCUAGCUGGUCUGAGAGGAUGAUCAGCCACACUGGAACUGAGACACGGUCCAGACUCCUACGGGAGGCAGCAGUGGGGAAUAUUGCACAAUGGGCGCAAGCCUGAUGCAGCCAUGCCGCGUGUAUGAAGAAGGCCUUCGGGUUGUAAAGUACUUUCAGUGGUGAGGAAGGCAGUGUUGUGAAUAGCACCAUUGUUUGACGUUAGCCACAGAAGAAGCACCGGCUAACCCCGUGCCAACCGC